UUUUAACUGUGUGAGUAUCACCGACUCUCUGACUCUGUCUACAUCGUUAAUGUGACUUCUGCUUGUGUGACGUGUCACACGGCUCCCUUAAAUCAUUUUGGUUAUAAAGUGUGUUAACCACAGGAGGAGGAGUGACUGAGAGCAGAGAGGAGGAGCAGAGAUUCAGGGAGGAGCUGAGCUGUUACUGAACUAUAGAAGAGAGAAAAACCUCCACAUUCAACAGAGUUCAACACAAAACAAACUUCAUGUUCCUCAACAUGCUGUCAUUACAUCACUGUGUGUUUCCUCUGAUUCUUCUCACUCUCACAGGUGUCAGCUGUGAUCAGCUCAGUCCAGUCAAAGAUGAAGAGUCCAGUGUAGAGGGCAGCACAGUUACUCUGACCUACACUUACAAAGUGUCAACUGGUGAUUAUUUCUUCUGGUAUCGACAACAUCCAGGAAGAGCACCAGAGCUCCUGAUCUCACACUCUGCUUCAGGAGCAGUAGGAACAGAAAAUAUUCCUGGACUGAAGAUUCAAGUGGUGGGAAAAGAAAUCAAGAUGAGCAUCUCCUCUGCUGCAGUGACAGACUCUGCUGUGUACUACUGUGCUCUGCAGCCCACAGUGACAGGAAACACCAAAACUCUGUACAAAAACCUUUGGAGCAAAGACAACAGAAUACUCCACAACAUCCACUAGAGGGAGCCACACACUGUUAAACCACUCUCCUUCUUUUGGAUACAAUCCCCUCUGAAUAGUUUAGCAAAAGAAAACAUCGGUGUAAAUCAUAACGUAGUUACCUGGAAAAAUGCAAAUGUGAGUCAAAUUCUGAUUUGGAUGUAAUAAAACACAAGUUUACAGUUCAAGGCACUUCUUACAGACAUUUAAAUGAACAUGAGAACUGAAUAAAUACGU